UGGGGAAUUUUGGACAAUGGGCGCAAGCCUGAUCCAGCCAUGCCGCGUGCGGGAAGAAGGCCUUCGGGUUGUAAACCGCUUUUGUCAGGGAAGAAAUCUUCUGAGUUAAUACCUCGGGAGGAUGACGGUACCUGAAGAAUAAGCACCGGCUAACUACGUGCCAGCAGCCGCGGUAAUACGUAGGGUGCAAGCGUUAAUCGGAAUUACUGGGCGUAAAGCGUGCGCAGGCGGUUUUGUAAGACAGAGGUGAAAUCCCCGGGCUCAACCUGGGAACUGCCUUUGUGACUGCAAGGCUUGAGUGCGGCAGAGGGGGGAUGGAAUUCCGCGUGUAGCAGUGAAAUGCUAGAUAUGCGGAGGAACACCGAUGGCGAAGGCAAUCCCCUGGGGCCUGCACUGACGCUCAUGCACGAAAGCGUGGGGAGCAAACAGGAUUAGAUACCCUGGUAGUCCACGCCCUAAACGAUGUCAACUGGUUGUUGGGAAGGUUCCUUCUCAGUAACGUAGCUAACGCGUGAAGUUGACCGCCUGGGGAGUACGGCCGCAAGGUUG
rnacentral:rRNA from 1 species